AUGCAUGUCUAAGUACAAACUCUAGCACAGUGAAACUGCGAAUGGCUCAUUAGAUCAGUUAUGGUUCCUUAGACGAUACAAUCCUACUUGGAUAACUGUGGUAAUUCUAGAGCUAAUACAUGCACUCUAGCUCCGACCCUUUCGCGAGGGGAAGAGCGCGUUUAUCAGUUCGAAGCCAGCCGGGUUGCAAAACUCGACUCUUUGGUGACUCUGGAUAACUCUUGCGGAUCGCACGGUCUCGAACCGGCGACGCGUCUAUCAAGUGUCUGCCCUAUCAGACUGUCGAUGGUAAGUGCUAUGCUUACCAUGGUGAUAACGGGUAACGGGGAAUCAGGG
rnacentral:rRNA from 1 species